GACGAACGCUGGCGGCGUGCUUAACACAUGCAAGUCGAACGGAAAGGCCCUGCUUUUGUGGGGUGCUCGAGUGGCGAACGGGUGAGUAACACGUGAGUAACCUGCCCUUGACUGUGGGAUAACUUCAGGAAACUGGGGCUAAUACCGGAUAGGAGCUCCUGCUGCAUGGUGGGGGUUGGAAAGUUUCGGCGGUGGGGGAUGGACUCGCGGCUUAUCAGCUUGUUGGUGGGGUAGUGGCUUACCAAGGCUUUGACGGGUAGCCGGCCUGAGAGGGUGACCGGCCACAUUGGGACUGAGAUACGGCCCAGACUCCUACGGGAGGCAGCAGUGGGGAAUCUUGCACAAUGGGCGGACGCCUGAUGCAGCAACGCCGCGUGCGGGAUGACGGCCUUCGGGUUGUAAACCGCUUUCGCCUGUGACGAAGCGUGAGUGACGGUAAUGGGUAAAGAAGCACCGGCUAACUACGUG
rnacentral:rRNA from 1 species